AUCCUAGCUUGCUAGGAGGCGUCGAGCGGCGGACGGGUGAGUAAUGCAUAGGAAUCUGCCCGGUAGUGGGGGAUAACUUGAGGAAACUCAAGCUAAUACCGCAUACGCCCUACGGGGGAAAGCAGGGGCUCUUCGGACCUUGCGCUAUUGGAUGAGCUUAUGUCGGAUUAGCUAGUUGGUGAGGUAAUGGCUCACCAAGGCGACGAUCCGUAGCUGGUCUGAGAGGAUGAUCAGCCACAUCGGGACUGAGACACGGCCCGAACUCCUACGGGAGGCAGCAGUGGGGAAUAUUGGACAAUGGGGGCAACCCUGAUCCAGCCAUGCCGCGUGUGUGAAGAAGGCCCUCGGGUUGUAAAGCACUUUCAGUGAGGAAGAACGCCUGUCGGUUAAUACCCGGCAGGGGAGACAUCACUCACAGAAGAAGCACCGGCUAACUCCGUGCCAGCAGCCGCGGUAAUACGGAGGGUGCGAGCGUUAAUCGGAAUUACUGGGCGUAAAGCGUGCGUAGGCGGCUUGGUAAGCCGGU
rnacentral:rRNA from 1 species